rnacentral:SRP_RNA from 2 species
GCUGGGCGUGAUGGCUCAUGCCUGUAAUCCCAGCACUUUGGGAGGCCGAGGCAGGUGGAUCACCUGAGGUCAGGAGUUCAAGACCAGCCUGGCCAACAUGGUGAAACCCCGUCUCUA